rnacentral:rRNA from 1 species
CGGCGGACGGGUGAGUAACGCGUGGGCAACCUGCCUUACACAGGGGGAUAACAGUUAGAAAUGACUGCUAAUACCGCAUAAGACCGCAGUACCGCAUGGUACAGCGGUAAAAACUCCGGUGGUGUAAGAUGGGCCCGCGUCUGAUUAGGUAGUUGGCGGGGUAAAGGCCUACCAAGGCGACGAUCAGUAGCCGGCCUGAGAGGGUGAACGGCCACAUUGGGACUGAGACACGGCCCAGACUCCUACGGAAGGCAGCAG